rnacentral:rRNA from 1 species
AAUCAACGCUGGCGGCGUGCCUCAGACAUGCAAGUCGAACGCGAAAGGUUCCUUCGGGGACCGAGUAGAGUGGCGCACGGGUGAGUAACACGUAGGUAAUUUGCCUUUGGGUGGGGAAUAACUCAGGGAAACUUGAGCUAAUACCGCAUAAUGCAGCGGCUCGACAUCGAGACAGUUGUUAAAGCGGGGGAUUCGCAAGAACCUCGCGCCUAAAGAGAAGCCUGCGGCAGAUAGCUAGUUGGUAAGGUAAUGGCUUACCAAGGCGACGAUCUGUAACCGGCCUGAGAGGGCGGUCGGUCACACUGACACUGACAUACGGGUCAGACUCCUACGGGAGGCAGCAGUCGGGAAUUUUUGGGCGAAUGGGCGAAAGCCUGACCCAGCAACGCCGCGUGAAGGA